ensembl:snoRNA
AGCACUAUAUUUAAACCUAUGAUUGGAUUUUCCAGAUUUUUGGUUAUGCUGUAGUACAAAAGAAUUCCUUGCUCUUUGUGUUGCACAGCUGACACAUGGCAUUCAGUUGUUGCUGUACAGAGUCAACAUGAAAAAAA